UACACACUUCAUUCUAUAAAACACAUUUUAAUUUUUCUUAUCACUCAAUGCAACUUGGAGAGUGUGGAGAGUUCUCUACACGUAUACUAGUGUGAUAGGUUAUAAAAUCAUACAAGAGAGAGAUCUUGCGCUCAACAGAUUCACUACUCAAAACUGUGACUAAUAACUCGCAAAUUCUCUGACAUGAGAGAGUGAUCUUGCGCUCAACAGAUUCACUACUCAAAAAAUGCUUGUACGAGUGAGAUAGAAACACAAAGGAGGCGUGUAUCACAAUUGGCGAACACUGCCGAUACUCCCCAGAGCUUUAGCACGACGAUAACAUUUGAUUCAUUUUCUCACCUCACAACUCGGUCUCAUAAGCAAUUGUGCUCUCGUGAAGGAACCUUACCUGCAUCUAGAAAAUCAUAGCCGAGGAGCUAAGCUGGAACAAUACCUGAACCGAG
rnacentral:lncRNA from 1 species